GAAUCAAAUCACAGGUGUCGAGCUUGAGGUUUGUCAUGGGAGAAGUAUCGUGUCCGCUAUACAGCCAUCCUUUUAUUGCAUCACCUUCAUAUGUAUAACCAUCUGCUGCUAUGUGUGGAUCUUCCAUGACAUCCUGAAAAAUAGGACAAACGAAAUGAGGAGGAAUUCGUUUUUGACUCUUGGAACCCUGAGAUGAAGUAUUCAAAUCUGAGUUUGGUUUGCA
rnacentral:misc_RNA from 1 species